rnacentral:snRNA from 8 species
AUACUUACCUGGCAAGGGAGACACCGCGAUCAAGAAGGUGGUUCACCCAGGGCGAGACUCAGCCAUUGCACUCCGGCUGUGCUGACCCCUGCGAAUUUCCCAAAUGUGGAAAUCUCGAUUGCAUAAUUUCUGGUAGUGGGGACUGCGUUCGCGCUCUCCCCU